GGUUAAUCGUAAUGUGGAAUCUUCCUCCCUCAGGUCAUUAUUUCAGGAACGAGGUGAAAACUCGUCAGUGGCGGCGGCGGUAGGGUGCGCCGGCAGCGUGAACCAUGGCGCCUCCUCCUCCCACAACGAAAUGAAAUGUAGCCAGAAAUCACUGUAUUAGCAGCAGAAAUGGGGCCGAGCGGUCGGCGUACUUCGCCAGGAGAGAGGCGGCGGGGGUACUGCGGCGGGUGCUCCAGGACGACGCCGCCCGCCACGCCACGGCUUCAUUAAAUCCUUCGUUGACUCUCCCUAUGUGCACGAUACUUGUCUGCCAAACCCUCAAGAUCAUCACUGAGGCCAUGCCAGCAAACUCCGAACGGUGCCGAAGAGGCGUCCGUUGCUGUGGAUCAUCACUGAGGCCAUGCCAGCAGAGGUCCGAGCGCUCAGAGAAAGUCCGGGCACCCGGGAGUGGAUAAAUUCUUAUCACUUCGUCGUUGUAUAGCCUUUGUGUGAAGAUAGAAUUUGACUCACUAGGGGCGCCCGGAGAGGGUCUGAGCAUCCGGACUGUGCCACGUCAGCAAACGAUCACUUCGACUAGUGAGCCUAUAAAAGGAGCCCUGUUGCUCUUCAUUUGAACAACAUUUUCUGUAUUCGAGUUAUUUCACUCUGUUCUUCAAAUUCUGAGAGUCAAUGUCCUGCAUGAGAUUUCUCCGCUCCCGACUUGUGCCAAAGAAGUCGAUUAGUUGAGUUUCAUUUGCCUUGGAUUAGCAACCUUUCCGGUUGCAAACCAAGUAAAUCGUUUGUAUCUUGUACUUAUUUUAUGCAUUUUAGUUUCUUUUUAAA